GAGGGUAUUGCUCAGUGGUAGAGCGCAUGCUUAGAAUGCACAAGGUCCUGGGUUCAAUCCCCUGUACCUCUG
rnacentral:tRNA from 1 species